rnacentral:rRNA from 1 species
CUAUGCGCCUUGCCAGCCCGCUCAGGUGUGCCAGCCGCCGCGGUAAUACGGAGGAUGCGAGCGUUAUCCGGAUUUAUUGGGUUUAAAGGGUGCGCAGGCGGAUUUUUAAGUCAGCGGUCAAAUCGUGGGGCUCAACCCGGGCCGGCCGUUGAAACUGGGGAUCUUGAGUGGGCGAGAAGUAUGCGGAAUGCGUGGUGUAGCGGUGAAAUGCAUAGAUAUCACGCAGAACUCCGAUUGCGAAGGCAGCAUACCGGCGCCCGACUGACGCUGAGGCACGAAAGCGUGGGGAUCGAACAGG